rnacentral:lncRNA from 1 species
CUUCACAGAAAGGCUGUUGAUAGUACCCUUCAAGGUGUCACCUACUUUCCUUCUUUUAUGUUGUUCUUCCUGAAUCUCUUUGGCGGUCUUGGCUGCUCGGUCCCUUAUCUGGUUGAGCUUAAACUUUAGGUUCUCUUUCUCCAAGGUGAGCUUACCGAGGUUAGAUCGGAGAUCAGCAUUCUCCUUCUCCAAUGCUUUGAUAAUCCCCUUGAGUUUGUCAACCUCUGAAAUAGGGGAAACAACAGGCUCAACAGGCUUGAUGAUCAUGGAAGGUUCAGGCAGAAAUGGCAAUAAAAACUCUUUGACUCUCUCCU